ACUCUCCCUCAAGAGCUUCUCAGCUUAAGGCAAUAUGUUAUACCAAGAUCCUUAGUUUGAGGGGGAUAUUUGGUAUAUUUUAGGCUGUGGAGCUCGUGGGGGAGA